AUUGAACGCUGGCGGCCGGCCUAACACAUGCAAGUCGAACGAGUGGCGGACGGGUGAGUAAUGUCUGGGAAACUGCCUGAUGGAGGGGGAUAACUACUGGAAAAGGUAGCUAAUACCGCAUACCAUCCGAUUUGCCCAGGUGGGAUUAGCUUGUUGGUGGGGUAACGGCUCACCAAGGCGACGCUCCCUAGCUGGUCUGAGAGGAUGACCAGCCACACGGGAACGGAGACACGGUCCAGACGCCUACGGGAGGCAGCGUUGGGGAAUAUUGCACAAUGGGCGAAAGCCGGAUGCAGCAAUGCGGCGUGUAUGAAGAAGUCCUUCGGGUUGUAAAGUACUUUCAGCGGGGAGGCGUUACCCGCAGAAGAAGCACCGGCUAACUCCGUGCCAGCAGCCGCGGUAAUAC
rnacentral:rRNA from 1 species